rfam:Salmo salar isolate Sally breed double haploid chromosome ssa09, whole genome shotgun sequence.
GGAUUCCCAAUUUGUAAGUCGCUCUGGAUAAGAGCGUCUGCUAAAUGACGUAAA